UAACGUUUAGAAACAUACCUCGUCUUGCUCUAUCUGUCCUCCUAGACUCUCAUCUACAACUCUAAACGAACAUGUUUCACGGCGCUGACAAGGCAGUUGAGGCGCUGCUUCGUGGCCAAGAGCGCUAAUCUCGUGAAGACGGUGCUCGAACACUAGAGGACAAGCUCUCUUCGACACCCUUCUUGAUUCCUUCUCCAGUUUAAAUAAUGGUCCAAUUUAAAUAUUACACAAAAAAAAAAAUGAAGUUGCGACUUUGUUUUAAUAGAAUAGAUGUUUCUCGGUUUAUAUUCCACAAAAAAAAAAAACGGAAAGGCGACGAGCGAUGGCGAAGGCGACGCGGUCCUAGGGUUCGAUGGGUUUUCGAGGGUGGGAUCCGGGGAGACAAAGGGUUAGAGAUGCGCAGGAUCUAACAGAUCUUGAUGGGCUACAGAGCAAAGGGAAGGAAAGGAAGAUCUUCUUCGAGGGUUUUAUGGAAUUAACGUAAAGAUCGUGAUUGAUAGGGGCUGGGGUUUCUCGCGACUAGUGGAUAGUAUUGAUCUAUGGAAUCUAUGGUCUUCAUUUGGUGAUUACAAGAUGGUUAGAGGAAACUAUCAGCUGAGUCAAUUGGUUUGGUUGGUCAAGGGAAGAUAUUUGAAGUGGUUUAAAGAUGGGUCUUCAGAGGAUGAGCAUGUUUUAUUUUUGGCCUCAUUAUGCCAUAAACAAGGAAAAAUCUUGUUAUUCUUUUGUAAUUGCAAUAACACGUGGACUAUCGUUGGGCACUUAGUAAUUGCAUGUCUGGAUUAUCAGGUCUUCUCUUGGAAUAAAUUUGGUGUUUUUUUGCGUUUAUUGUAUUUAUCUAUGGGUCUGGUUGAAAUGGAAUGGAAAUACUUUAUGAUACAUUGGUACUUCUUAAGUUGGAAGGAAAGGCAUUGGUAUUUUGGUUA